rnacentral:rRNA from 1 species
CCGCAAGGUUUAAAACUCAAAUGAAUUGAACGGGGGCCCGCACAAGCGGUGGAGCAUGUGGUUUAAUUCGAUGCAACGCGAAGAACCUUACCUACUCUUGACAUCCAGCGAAUCCUUUAGAGAUAGAGGAGUGCCUUCGGGAACGCUGAGACAGGUGCUGCAUGGCUGUCGUCAGCUCGUGUUGUGAAAUGUUGGGUUAAGUCCCGCAACGAGCGCAACCCUUAUCCUUUGUUGCCAGCACGUAAUGGUGGGAACUCAAAGGAGACUGCCGGUGAUAAACCGGAGGAAGGUGGGGAUGACGUCAAGUCAUCAUGGCCCUUACGAGUAGGGCUACACACGUGCUACAAUGGCAGAUACAAAGAGAAGCGACCUCGCGAGAGCAAGCGGAACUCAUAAAGUCUGUCGUAGUCCGGAUUGGAGUCUGCAACUCGACUCCAUGAAGUCGGAAUCGCUAGUAAUCGUAGAUCAGAAUGCUACGGUGAAUACGUUCCCGGGCCUUGUACACACCGCCCGUCACACCAUGGGAGUGGGUUGCAAAAGAAGUAGGUAGCUUAACCUUCGU